UUUUUAGCUCAUCUAUUUUUUGAAAAAAAAAUUAUGAGCUAUUGUCAUCACCUUGGCGUCGGCGUCGGCGUCCGGUUAAGUUUUGCGUUUAGGUCCACUUUUCUCAGAAAGUAUCAAUGCUAUUGCAUUCAAACUUGGUACACUUACUUACUAUCAUGAGGGGACUGGGCAGGCAAAGUUAGAUAACUCUGGCGUGCAUUUUGACUGAAUUAUGUGCCCUUUUUAUACUUAGAAAAUUGAAAAUUUUGGUUAAGUUUUGCGUUUAGGUCCACUUUUUUCAGAAAGUAUCAAUGCUAUUGCAUUCAAACUUGGUACACUUACUUACUAUCAUGAGGGGACUGGGCAGGCAAAGUUAGAUAACUCUGGCAUGCAUUUUGACAGAAUUAUGUGCCCUUUUUAUACUUAGAAAAUUGAAAGUUUUGGUUAAGUUUUGUGUUUAGGUCCAUUUUAUUCCUUAAGUAUCAAAGCUAUUGCUUUCAUACUUGCAACACUUACUAGCUAUCAUAAGGGGACUGUGCAGGUAAAGUAAUGUAACUCUGACUGGCAUUUUGACAGAAUUAUGUGCCCUUUUUAUACGCCCGUAUAAAAUACGGGACGUAUUAUGUGAAACCCCUUGGCGGGCGGGCGGGCGGCGGGCGGGCGGGCGGCGGGCGGAAGGCAUCACUUUGUCCGGACUCUAAUUCAAAUUGUAUUCAUCCGAUCUUCACCAAACUUGGUCAGCAGUUGCAUCUAGUUGAUAUCUAGGCCAAGUUCGAAUAUGGGUCAUGCCGGGUCAAAAACUAGGUCAUAGGGUCAAUAAGUGCAUUUUCAAAGGGGCCACUUUGUCCGGACUCUAUUUCAAAUUGUAUUCAUCCGAUCUUCACCAAACUUGGUCAGCAGUUGCAUCUAGUUGAUAUAUAGGCCAAGUUCGAAUAUGGGUCAUGCCGGGUCAAAAACUAGGUCAAAGGGUCAAUUAGUGCAUUUUACUUUGUCCGGACUCUAAUUCAAAUUGUAUAAAUCUUAUCUUCACCAAACUUGGUCAGUAGUUGCAUCUAGUUGAUAUCUAGGCCAAGUUCGAAUAUGGGUCAUGCCAGGUAAAAAACUAGGUCAUAGGGUCAAUUAGUCCAUUUUCAACAGCGCCACUUUGUCCGGACUCUUAUUCAAAUUGUAUUCAUCCGAUCUUUACCAAACUUGGUCAGUAGUUGCAUCUAGUUGAUAUCUAGGUCAAGUUCGAAUAUGGGUCAUGUCGGGUCAAGAACUAGGUCAUAGGGUCAAUUAGUGCAUUUUCAACGGCGCCACUUUGUCCAGACUCUAAUUCAAAUUGUAUUCAUCCGAAACUUUUAAACAACUUUUUAUCCUGCGUCAAAGUGGUAUGGGGGUAUAAGUCACAUUCAGUGACAAAGCUCUAGUUCAAGUUGAUAUCAAUGCAUAUAUAUGAAUAUAUCAGUUAUAUAA